GACGAACGCUUGCGGCGUGCUUAACACAUGCAAGUCGAACGGAAAGGCCCUGCUUUUGUGGGGUGCUCGAGUGGCGAACGGGUGAGUAACACGUGAGUAACCUGCCCUUGACUUUGGGAUAACUUCAGGAAACUGGGGCUAAUACCGGAUAGGAGCUCCUGCUGCAUGGUGGGGGUUGGAAAGUUUCGGCGGUUGGGGAUGGACUCGCGGCUUAUCAGCUUGUUGGUGGGGUAGUGGCUUACCAAGGCUUUGACGGGUAGCCGGCCUGAGAGGGUGACCGGCCACAUUGGGACUGAGAUACGGCCCAGACUCCUACGGGAGGCAGCAGUGGGGAAUAUUGCACAAUGGGCGGAAGCCUGAUGCAGCAACGCCGCGUGCGGGAUGACGGCCUUCGGGUUGUAAACCGCUUUCGCCUGUGACGAAGCGUGAGUGACGGUAAUGGGUAAAGAAGCACCGGCUAACUACGUGCCAGCAGCCGCGGUGAUACGUAGGGUGCGAGCGUUGUCCGGAUUUAUUGGGCGUAAAGGGCUCGUAGGUGGUUGAUCGCGUCGGAAGUGUAAUCUUGGGGCUUAACCCUGAGCGUGCUUUCGAUACGGGUUGACUUGAGGAAGGUAGGGGAGAAUGGAAUUCCUGGUGGAGCGGUGGAAUGCGCAGAUAUCAGGAGGAACACCAGUGGCGAAGGCGGUUCUCUGGGCCUUUCCUGACGCUGAGGAGCGAAAGCGUGGGGAGCGAACAGGCUUAGAUACCCUGGUAGUCCACGCUGUAAACGGUGGGUACUAGGUGUGGGGUCCAUUCCACGGGUUCCGUGCCGUAGCUAACGCUUUAAGUACCCCGCCUGGGGAGUACGGCCGCAAGGCUAAAACUCAAAGGAAUUGACGGGGCCCCGCACAAGCGGCGGAGCAUGCGGAUUAAUUCGAUGCAACGCGUAGAACCUUACCUGGGUUUGACAUGGAUCGGGAGUGCUCAGAGAUGGGUGUGCCUCUUUUGGGGUCGGUUCACAGGUGGUGCAUGCCUGUCGUCAGCUCGUGUCGUGAGAUGUUGGGUUAAGUCCCGCAACGAGCGCAACCCUUGUUCACUGUUGCCAGCACGUUAUGGUGGGGACUCAGUGGAGACCGCCGGGGUCAACUCGGAGGAAGGUGGGGAUGACGUCAAGUCAUCAUGCCCCUUAUGUCCAGGGCUUCACGCAUGCUACAAUGGCUGGUACAGAGAGUGGCGAGCCUGUGAGGGUGAGCGAAUCUCGGAAAGCCGGUCUCAGUUCGGAUUGGGGUCUGCAACUCGACCUCAUGAAGUCGGAGUCGCUAGUAAUCGCAGAUCAGCAACGCUGUGGUGAAUACGUUCCCGGG
rnacentral:rRNA from 1 species